GACAGAGGGUGCAAACGUUGUUCGGAAUUACUGGGCGUAAAGCGAGUGUAGGCGGUUUCCUAAGUCAGGUGUGAAAGCCCCGGGCUCAACCCGGGAAGUGCACUUGAAACUGGGAGGCUAGAGUAUCGGAGAGGUUGGUGGAAUUCUCGGUGUAGAGGUGAAAUUCGUAGAUAUCGGGAGGAACACCGGUGGCGAAGGCGGCGACCUGGGUCGAUACUGACGCUGGAGGUGCGAAAGCGUGGGGAGCAAACAGG
rnacentral:rRNA from 1 species